AGAAAAUUCAAUAUCUCCCUUGGGAGGCAGAGUAGUUUUAGUAGUGUGGUGGAUUUGUUACCAACAUAUGUGAUAGGGAUAUCUCUCUCAUCAGUUAAGGUGGAAAGUAGGAUGGAUACUCUCAUAAAAGAACUUUAUUUGGCAAGAAACAGGAAAAAAUGCAUUCCACCUGGUGAAUGAAAGACUAUCAUUAUUUGGAGAUAGGAAAUCAGAAACUUCAGGUAGGAUGUCAGAAGUCCUUUAUUCAAAUAGUUCAGGAGAUACAAUAAUGACAACA
rnacentral:misc_RNA from 1 species